UCGCCUGUUUUACAAAAACAUAGUUUAAGGAAAUAAUCUUAAAUGAAUUCUGCCCAGUGAUUUUUUUUUAAAUGGCCGCAGUACCUUGACUGUGCUAAGGUAGCAUAAUCAAUUGGCUUCUAAUUAAAGUCUGGAAUGAAAGGAAAUAUGAAGUAAUUCUAUCUUAAAGGAUUUUUUUUGAAUUUAUUUAAAUGAUGAAAAUAUCAUUUUAUAGAAAAAAGACGAGAAGACCCUUAGAGUUUUGAUAUUUAUAUAUUUUUGUUGGGGCGACAGGUAAACAUAUAACUUUACGAAUUAUCAUUGAUCGAUUUUUUAUAAGAAUAAUAAAACUACCUUAGGGAUAACAGCAUUAUAUUUUUUUUUAUGAUUGUGACCUCGAUGUUGGACUAGGAACUUUAUGGCUAGCCGUCAAAAAAGAUUGUCGCCCGUUUCAA
rnacentral:rRNA from 1 species